rnacentral:rRNA from 1 species
UACGUAGGUGGCAAGCGUUGUCCGGAAUUAUUGGGCGUAAAGCGCACGUAGGCGGCUUUGUAAGUUAGAGGUGAAAGCCCGGGGCUCAACCCCGGAAUUGCCUUUAAGACUGCAUCGCUUGAAUCCAGGAGAGGUGAGUGGAAUUCCGAGUGUAGAGGUGAAAUUCGUAGAUAUUCGGAAGAACACCAGUGGCGAAGGCGGCUCACUGGCCCGAUACUGACGCUGAGGUGGCGAAAGCGUGGGGAGCAAACAGG